UUACUGAUUACUUUGUCUCGUGUCAGGCUGUGUGUGGACAUCAGGAACGGUUGUAAAGUGUUUCUGACGGUAAAACUAUUGGAUGCGUAAAAUAUUGGAUGAAUAACCUGAUCUUGGAUUAAAUUUACCCCUGUGAUGCUACAAGGCACCAGUUUGGAAAACAAAUUCAUGAAAAAUGGAGCACAUUACUGUAGGAAAUCUGUCAUAUCUUAUCAAAUCGGCAAAAUGUUAUUCUGUAAUAUUUAACUAAGCUUAUGGAACAGCACGGUAAAAGAAAAAUAAAUUUUCAAUACCAUAUAUGGCCGUCGGAGACUCAAACUAGCGGAAUCACGUGUAGCCUUCGUUUGGAGUUAGUUUAUUCGACUGCAUUUAGUGGAGCCAAAUACAAGAACGGAGAACUAAUCAGAGCAUGGGGGACAUUCGAAUAACUACAUCUGGCCAAUCGUCAGGACGACGUUGAUAUCGUAACGGAAAAAGCAUGGGCAACCUUUGAAUAUCUACAUCUGGCCAAUCACGGAGCUCGGAGGGCAGUGAUACAUCAGGAGAUGUGCCCCUAUACAUAAAUGUUGACAAAAGACUUAGACAUUAAUUUUGAAUGAAAAUUCUAUCAGGAAGUCGCAAAAAGAAAGAAGAAAAAAAAAGGAUUAUCGGAAAGCCGAAUACAGAUGAAUCGCAUGACAAAGAUGCUCAAAGAUAACCGAGUUUUAUUCUCUUGAAAGAGAAUCGAAAUGCUACAGGGGAUGAUGUAAGAUGUCAACAAAUAUGAAGCGUAAUAUAUAUUACAACAAUUUUACGGUUCUGCAGCUUCUUGCGGUCAUAUUUUGCUCAGCGUCAGUUUCUACAAUUAAAUGAAGUAUUAUCCUGACCCAGGACCAAACACUAUGACCUACCUUGACCUAAGAAUUCCGCACCAUCUGGGAGAUGUGUGAUGGCUUCUGCUUCAUGACCUGAAGCCAGAUCUUCCUAUCUUGCGAUGUUCUGGUCGCUUCUGUGAAGGAUCCCAGACAUCUAGUAGCACAAUCAGCCUUUACACAAUCUAACCAUUUCUUGGCUGGUCUACUCCGUGGUCUAUCACCAUGAAUAUUAGAAGUUAGGAGUAUAUUUGGGUAUCGUGUUGGUCUCAUCCUGUUAACGUGGCCAAAGAAUCGCAGCCGUUUUUUUGUUGCUAUUUUGUCCAGACUGGUUUCGUCAAGUCCUAGAGUCUUUCGAAUUGUUGUGUUUCUUAUUCUGUCUAGUCUGGUUACACCCAAGAUUUUUCGGAGGCAGAUCAUUUCGAAGGUAAGGAGCCUGUUCUCAUUUUCUUUUUUUCAGUGUCCAUGUUUCUGAUCAAUACAUAAGGAUGAAUAGGAUGAGUACCUUAUAUAGUUCAAGUUUUGUGACAUCUCUAAUAUCUUUGGCUUUCAAUAUGCUGUGAAGACUUUGAACAGCACCCAGGGCUUUUCCAAUCCUAUUCUUUAUGUCCUCUGUACAUUUUCCUGAUUGAGUGAUGGUGCCUCCCAGGUAAAUAAACUUUUCCACCUGUAGUAAUUUGGUUCCACCUAUGCUGAUGUUAAUGUCUUGCUGCCGUUUGCUGAUGACCAGGACCUCUGUCUGGGCAAUAUUGAUUUUGAGGCCAAAGUUUGAGCUCCACUGGUGUACACAAUGUACAAUUUGAUUUGAUUUGAUUUAUUGGUUUCAUAACAAUGGACUGGAGAUCUAUCUCGUUGCAUGCAAGAAGAACUUUGUCGUCAGCGAAGCGGAGGUUGUUGAUCAGAUGGCCUUGAAUGUUUGUUCCAAUAGGGGUGUCAUAGGUGGCAUGUAACAUAACCAUUUCUAGGAUGAUUUUGAAGAGCUGUGGUGAUAAUACACAGCCCUGGCGUACGCCCACAGUUGUUGGAAACCAGUCUGUAAGUUCUCCAUUUACCCUGACUGCACUUGAUGAGAUUUUGUAUAGUGCUUUUAGGAGACAGAUGAGCUUAUUGGAGUACAGCCAAAGAAUCUCAUAA